rnacentral:SRP_RNA from 1 species
UUGCACUAGACGGGGAACUAGCGAUGCCCUGUAACCUGCAAUCGCUAUAGCAGGGUUGAAUUCCCGGUUAAGGAUUCAUGAAUUUGAAGUCUGCCCUUAUUAAGUGGUGUUGACAAAUGGGUCUUGCGCAAAAAGAAGUCAUGAACCUGGUCAGGUCCGGGAGGAAGCAGCCAUAAGUGGCCCCUCUUUUGUGCCGCAAGGUAGCCUGUUUCGAGCCAACUGGUAAGGUAACGUUCUGGUCCAUGAACUCGAUGCCGGGUGUGCAU